rnacentral:rRNA from 1 species
GAUGAACGCUGGCGGCGUGCCUAAUACAUGCAAGUCGAGCGAACAGAUGAGGAGCUUGCUCCUCUGACGUUAGCGGCGGACGGGUGAGUAACACGUGGAUAACCUACCUAUAAGACUGGGAUAACUUCGGGAAACCGGAGCUAAUACCGGAUAAUAUAUUGAACCGCAUGGUUCAAUAGUGAAAGACGGUUUUGCUGUCACUUAUAGAUGGAUCCGCGCCGCAUUAGCUAGUUGGUAAGGUAACGGCUUACCAAGGCGACGAUGCGUAGCCGACCUGAGAGGGUGAUCGGCCACACUGGAACUUAGACACGGUCCAGACUCCUACGGGAGGCAGCAGUAGGGAAUCUUCCGCAAUGGGCGAAAGCCUGACGUAGCAACGCCGCGUGAGUGAUGAAGGUCUUCGGAUCGUAAAACUCUGUUAUUAGGGAAGAACAAAUGUGUAAGUAACUAUGCACGUCUUGACGGUACCUAAUCAGAAAGCCACGGCUAACUACGUA